rnacentral:rRNA from 1 species
CAGCAGCCGCGGGAAUACGUAGGUGGCAAGCGUUGUCCGGAAUUAUUGGGCGUAAAGGGCUCGCAGGCGGUUUCUUAAGUCUGAUGUGAAAGCCCCCGGCUCAACCGGGGAGGGUCAUUGGAAACUGGGAAACUUGAGUGCAGAAGAGGAGAGUGGAAUUCCACGUGUAGCGGUGAAAUGCGUAGAGAUGUGGAGGAACACCAGUGGCGAAGGCGACUCUCUGGUCUGUAGCUGACGCUGAGGAGCGAAAGCGUGGGGAGCGAACAGGAUUAGAUACCCGGGUAGUCCCUGUCUCUUAUAU